CCCCGGCGGGCGGGGGCUGAGCCAGGGCCCGCCGCCAGGCAGGAAGGGAGCCCGCCUGCUGCAGCAGUGGGCAAGGCUGACAGCCAGCCAGCCAGCCAGCCGCGUGCUUCCUCGCAGCUCCCGCCGGGCCAGAGCCGCAAAGAAGGGAGGGGGCGGCCUCAGUCCACCCCCGCCGCUCCCAGGAGAACAAGGCGGACACAGCCCCUCCUCACCAAGGGCUGGGGCCGAGAGAUUCAGCGCCGCAGCUCGGCUGCCCAUUCGGCCGGCGGUUCCACCAGCCCGGCGUAGGGGGAGACCGGAGCUGGCCGCGGCCAAUCCGCUGCAAAGGUGUGUGAGGCGGCGGCCAAUGGCGAGCGGGGGCACGCGUGAUCAGCGGCUGCCCAGCGGCAUGGAGAGCGUGUCAGCUCUGCGUGUGCACUAGCCCCGGCAGCGUGUUCCCGACGCAGCCCUUGGAUAGGGGGCUGAGGCGUGGAAAGAUUUGUGAGCCCGGGGGUGAGUGGGGCAGAGCCUGAAAGAGAUCUCAGUCCCAGCCUUAACAGGACCAUCUGAUACUCUUACCAUUUGAGUGGGCUGGUCAGUGCGAUCCAUGGAGGCUACAAGUUCCAAUAUUUGUUGCUCCUAGGGGACCUUCAAUGCAAUCAAAGGAAACGGCUGCUCAGGCUCCUACCUGUGUUUCACCACUCUAAAUCCAGCCCAGGUUUGAGUCUCAGUGACAAUGAGUUUGCAGUUCGUAGUGUAGAACCAGGGACAUCUACAUCAAACACAUCACCGGCCACCAACAGUACCAGGAGGUGUGAGCCGGUACGACAUCAUGCAUCAACUAUGGGAAAGGGACUGAGAGACUUUUUCCAUUGGACCAUAUGAACUGGAACCAUAAACUCACUGAACAUUAAAUCCCACCAAAUGAGGGUAAAUCCAUCUUCAUCAUCGUAGUCACUCAUUAUACUCCAGACCUGAACAUAGCCAUUAUAUGAACAACAUAACCCCAUAUCUCAAUGUCUGUACUUUGACUCGUUAAACUUUUACCCCCAAUCGGGGAGAUUGCA